rnacentral:rRNA from 1 species
CCUACGGGCGGCAGCAGUGGGGAAUAUUGGACAAUGGGCGAAAGCCUGACCCAGCCAUGCCGCGUGUGUGAAGAAGGCCUUCGGGUUGUAAAGCACUUUCAGUGGGGAAGAAAGCCUUGGGGCUAAUACCCUCGAGGAAGGACAUCACCCACAGAAGAAGCACCGGCUAACUCCGUGCCAGCAGCCGCGGUAAUACGGAGGGUGCGAGCGUUAAUCGGAAUUACUGGGCGUAAAGCGCGCGUAGGCGGUCUGAUAAGCCGGUUGUGAAAGCCCCGGGCUCAACCUGGGAACGGCAUCCGGAACUGUCAGGCUAGAGUGCAGGAGAGGAAGGUAGAAUUCCCGGUGUAGCGGUGAAAUGCGUAGAGAUCGGGAGGAAUACCAGUGGCGAAGGCGGCCUUCUGGACUGACACUGACGCUGAGGUGCGAAAGCGUGGGUAGCAAACAGGAUUAGAUACCCUAGUAGUC